CGCCCCUCCCUGUCCCCGAGCCUUGGGGACACGCGGGGACACCGUGGGGACACGCGGGGACACCGUGGGGACUCGCGGGGACGUGGCUCCAGGCCUUGGGGACGUGGCUCCGGCCGCGGGGACCUUGGGGACAUCCCCGAGGGGAGGCGACAGCGGGGACACGGCCCCAGGGACAGGGGACAGCGGGGACAGGUCCCCAAGGGGAGGGGACAGGUCCCCAAGUGCCACUCCCGCCUGUCCCGGGACAGGGGACACGUCCCCAAGGGGAGGGGACAGGUCCCCAAGUGCCACUCCCGCCUGUCCCGGGACAGGGGACACGUCCCCAGGGGGAGGGGACAGGUCCCCAAGUGCCACUCCCGCCUGUCCCGGGACAGGGGACAGCGGGGACAGGUCCCCAAGGGGAGGGGACACGUCCCCAGUGGCCGCUGCCACCUCCCCCGGCACAGGGGCCACGUCCCCAAGGGGAGGGGACAGUGGGGACAGGUCCCCAGGGGGAGGGGACAGCGGGGACAGGUCCCCAAGGGGAGGGGACAGGUCCCCAAGUGCCACUCCCGCCUGUCCCGGGACAGGGGACAGCGGGGACAGGUCCCCAGGGGGAGGGGACACGUCCCCAGGGCCACCCCCCCCGGCAGGAGUGGCCGAGGGUGGCGGCCCUUGGGGACAGCGGCAGCCGCGACACGUCCGGGGACAGCGAGGACAGCGCCAGCCGCGGUUGGGGACACUCGGAGGAGCUGCGGGAGCCGCUGUAGCGCCGCCGAUGUCGCCGUGGCACCGUCCCCGUGUCACCGUCCCCGUGUCACCAUCGCAGUGCCACCAUCGCCACCGCAGUGCCACCAUCGCCGUGGCACUGUCCCCGUGUCACCGUCCCCGUGUCACCGUCCCCGUGUCACCGUCCCCGUGUCACCAUCGCCGUGGCACCGUCCCCGUGUCGCCGUCCCCGUGUCACCAUCGCAGUGUCACCAUUGCCACCGCAGUGCCACCAUCGCCAUCGCCGUGUCACCGUCCCCGUGUCACAUUUAAGGCAUUUUUAGGUACAUUAAAGCCAUUUUUAGGCACAUUUGGGACAUUUUUGGGGCCAUUAAAGCCAUUUUGGGACACAUUUAGGACAUUUUUGGGGCCGUUAAAGCCAUUUUUGGGCACAUUUAAGGCAUUUUUAGGCACAUUUAAGGCAUUUUUAGGCACAUUUAGGACAUUUUUAGGGCCAUUAAAGCCAUUUUGAGGGCCAUUAAAGAAAUUUUUAGGUACAUUAAAGCCAUUUUGGGGCACAUUUAGGACAUUUUUGGAGCCAUUAAAGCCAUUUUUGGGCACAUUUAAUGCAUUUUUAGGCACAUUUGGGACAUUUUUGGGGCCGUUAAAGCCAUUUUGGGACACAUUUGGGACAUUUUUGGGGCCAUUAAAGCCAUUUUUGGGCACAUUUGGGACAUUUUUGGGGCCAUUAAAGCCAUUUUGGAGCACAUUUGGGACAUUUUUGGGGCCAUUAAAGCCAUUUUUGGAGCCAUUAAAGCCAUUUCUAAGCACACUUGGGACAUUUUUGGAGCCAUUAAAGCCAUUUUGGGGCACAUUUAGCACAUUUUUGGAGCAUUUAAAGACAUUUUUGGAGCCAUUAAAGCCAUUUUUGGGGCCAUUAAAGCCAUUUUUAGGCACAUUUGGGGCAUUUUUGGGGCCAUUAAAGCCAUUUUUGGAGCCAUUAAAGCCAUUUUUGGAGCCAUUAAAGCCAUUUUGGGCACACUUGGGACAUUUUUGGGGCCAUUAAAGCCAUUUUGGGACACAUUUGGGACAUUUUUGGGGCCAUUAAAGCCAUUUUUGGACACUUAAGGCGCUUUCGGCCACCCCCCCGCGGGUCCCGCUGUCCCUCUGUCCCUCUGUCCCUCUGUCUGUCCCUCUGUCCCUCUGUCUGUCCCUCUGUCUGUCCCUCUGUCCCUCUGUCCCUCUGUCUGUCCCUCUGUCCCUCUGUCCCUCUGUCCCUCUGUCUGUCCCUCUGUCCCGCUGUCCCUCUGUCCCUCUGUCUGUCCCUCUGUCCCGCUGUCCCUCUGUCCCUCUGUCCCCUCGGUCACGGCCCCGAC
rnacentral:lncRNA from 1 species